AUACGAAGGGGGCUAGCGUUGGCUCGGAAUCACUGGGCGUAAAGGGUGCGUAGGCGGGUUUUUAAGUCAGGGGUGAAAUCCUGGAGCUCAACUCCAGAACCGCCUUUGAUACUGAAGAUCUUGAGUCCGGGAGAGGUGAGUGGAACUGCGAGUGUAGAGGUGAAAUUCGUAGAUAUUCGCAAGAACACCAGUGGCGAAGGCGGCUCACUGGCCCGGUACUGACGCUGAGGCACGAAAGCGUGGGGAGC
rnacentral:rRNA from 1 species